rnacentral:rRNA from 1 species
AUUGAACGCUGGCGGCAGGCCUAACACAUGCGAGUCGAACGGUAACAGAAAGCAGCUUGCUGCUUUGCUGACGAGUGGCGGACGGGUGAGUAAUGUCUGGGAAACUGCCUGAUGGAGGGGGAUAACUACUGGAAACGGUAGCUAAUACCGCAUAACGUCGCAAGACCAAAGAGGGGGACCUUCGGGCCUCUUGCCAUCGGAUGUGCCCAGAUGGGAUUAGCUAGUAGGUGGGGUAAAGGCUCCCCUAGGCGACGAUCCCUAGCUGGUCUGAGAGGAUGACCAGCCACACUGGAACUGAGACACGGUCCAGACUCCUACGGGAGGCAGCAGUGGGGAAUAUUGCACAAUGGGCGCAAGCCUGAUGCAGCCAUGCCGCGUGUAUGAAGAAGGCCUUCGGGUUGUAAAGUACUUUCAGCGGGGAGGAAGGGAGUAAAGUUAAUACCUUUGCUCAUUGACGUUACCCGCAGAAGAAGCACCGGCUAACUCCGUG